UCUCAAGCAUAGCUAGACACUGACCUAAUUCCCAUUAGCGAUCUCUAACUAAGCAGGCAAUAAGAACCGACUGUUAAAGCCAAUAACCGCUCUAAACGGCCAAUCCCUUGGGAUAGAGACGAUUAUCACUGGAAUUAGUAGAUGCAACGUUCUAUAA
rnacentral:sRNA from 1 species